rnacentral:rRNA from 1 species
CCUACGGGUGGCUGCAGUGGGGAAUAUUGCACAAUGGGGGAAACCCUGAUGCAGCGACGCCGCGUGAAGGAAGAAGGUUUUCGGAUCGUAAACUUCUAUCAGCAGGGAAGAAGAAAGUGACAGUACCUGACUAAGAAGCCCCGGCUAACUACGUGCCAGCAGCCGCGGUAAUACGUAGGGGGCAAGCGUUAUCCGGAAUCACUGGGUGUAAAGGGUGCGUAGGCGGUAGGGCAAGUCAGAUGUGAAAGCCCGGGGCUCAGCCCCGGGAUUGGACUAGAAACUGUCUUACUAGAGUGCAGGAGAGGAAAGAGAAAUUGCAAGUAUAGCGGUGAAAGGCGGAGAUAUUGAGAGGAACACCACUUGCGAAGGAGGCUCUCUCGCAUGUAACUGACGCUGAGGAACGAAAGCGUGGGGAGCGUACAGUAUUAGAGACCCUUGUAGUC